UACGUAGAUCCCAAGCGUUAUCCGGAAUUAUUGGGCGUAAAGAGCAUGUAGGCGGUAAGAAAAGUCUGGUGUAAAAGGAGUUGGCUCAACCAACUCAUGCAUUGGAUACUGACUUACUAGAAUACUGGAGAGACAAGUGGAAUUCCAUGUGUAGCGGUGGAAUGCGUAGAUAUAUGGAGGAACACCAAUGGCGAAGGCAGCUUGCUGGACAGAUAUUGACGCUGAGAUGCGAAAGCGUGGGUAGCAAACAGG
rnacentral:rRNA from 1 species